AACAUAUCACAAAAAAUUUACUGAGAACGAGCCAUUUAAAAUAACUUUUCAAUUCUCUUUUUGCAGAUACAUAUUUGGGAUGCGUGAAUUUAGACGGAUUGGCGAGGUGAAGGUGAAAUUUGAAAAUAAAAAUAAGUUAUGAAGAGUGUUUGGAUUGGAAGAGAGACGAAUUCAGUUCCAAAUACUUCCUGACUUUCAAUGAUAAUUAAAUGCCAUUGGUGCACUGGUGAGGAAGAUUGCGGCUCAAGAUCGGAAAAGGAGGUCUAUCUGAUAUAGGAAGUCACAUGGCUCUGAACGUUCCCGACACUUUUGACACGAACGUGAAAAACUUGGUCAAUAUUUAAAAAUCUCGAAUGAAUGAGAGCUUUAAAUAAUGCCUUGAAAUCAGGAGAUCACCGACUAUUUGGUUUAUCCAAAGUUGGUCAAAUUUUGAAAGUUUCGAACGAGUGAGAGUUCCAUAAUGCAUUGAAAUCAGGAGAUCUCCAAUUAAUUGGUCUUUCUAAGUAUAUUUUCUAAAUUUGUUCACCUGGUUGCAUUGGGGUGGAGAUGACUGAUACGGCAGAUGGGAGGAAUACUCAUGGAGGUUGCAGAAGAUAGAGAUUUUCAUCGUCGGCCUGACAAUUAUUCUGGGUUUAUAUAAUGUGAACGCUGUUUGGGAUGAAGUGGUCGUUAUGUGGACAGAUUUCAGUUCAAAAGCGAAGAAGCUAGGAGUCUUUCUGGGAAGAAGAUUACUUGAUGCUGAUUAUAAAGUCGUGGACAUAGACGAAAUUUUUGCUAAGGUGCUGUGCCAACAUUAAUCGCAAUGAAGACCAUUUUAACGAUUAAUAUAUCAGGUUGUCCACAAAGUUUUCGCACAAAUAUUAAUGUGACAAUUAAAAAGCAAUUAGCAGACAAACCAAACCAGCAGGUACAACAUGUGAUAUCCCAAUGGAAAG